rnacentral:rRNA from 1 species
CCCUACGGGGCGCAGCAGUAGGGAAUCUUCCACAAUGGACGAAAGUCUGAUGGAGCAACGCCGCGUGAGUGAAGAAGGGUUUCGGCUCGUAAAGCUCUGUUGGUAGUGAAGAAAGAUAGGGGUAGUAACUGGCCUUUAUUUGACGGUAAUUACUUAGAAAGUCACGGCUAACUACGUGCCAGCAGCCGCGGUAAUACGUAGGGGGCAAGCGUUGUCCGGAUUUAUUGGGCGUAAAGCCAGGGCAGGAGGUCCAAUAAG